CCUACGGGGGGCUGCAGUGGGGAAUAUUGGACAAUGGGCGAAAGCCUGAUCCAGCCAUGCCGCGUGUGUGAAGAAGGCCUUCGGGUUGUAAAGCACUUUCAGUGGGGAAGAAAGCCUUGGGGCUAAUACCCUCGAGGAAGGACAUCACCCACAGAAGAAGCACCGGCUAACUCCGUGCCAGCAGCCGCGGUAAUACGGAGGGUGCGAGCGUUAAUCGGAAUUACUGGGCGUAAAGCGCGCGUAGGCGGUCUGAUAAGCCGGUUGUGAAAGCCCCGGGCUCAACCUGGGAACGGCAUCCGGAACUGUCAGGCUAGAGUGCAGGAGAGGAAGGUAGAAGUCCCGGUGUAGCGGUGAAAUGCGUAGAGAUCGGGAGGAAUACCAGUGGCGAAGGCGGCCUUCUGGACUGACACUGACGCUGAGGUGCGAAAGCGUGGGUAGCAAACAGGAUUAGAUACCCCUGUAGUC
rnacentral:rRNA from 1 species